rnacentral:rRNA from 1 species
GGGAGGCAGCAGUGGGGAAUAUUGCUCAAUGGAGGGAACUCUGAAGCAGCGACGCCGCGUGAAGGAUGAAGGUUUUCGGAUUGUAAACUUCUUUGACCGGGGACGAAUAAUGACGGUACCCGGAAAACAAGCCACGGCUAACUACGUGCCAGCAGCCGCGGUAAUACGUAGGUGGCGAGCGUUGUCCGGAAUUACUGGGUGUAAAGGGCGUGCAGGCGGUUAUGUAAGUCAGAUGUGAAAUUCCAUGGCUCAACUGUGGGACUGCAUCUGAAACUAUGUAUCUUGAGUGCUGGAGAGGGAAGCGGAAUUCCCAGUGUAGCGGUGAAAUGCGUAGAUAUUGGGAGGAACACCAGUGGCGAAGGCGGCUUUCUGGACAGCAACUGACGCUGAGGCGCGAAAGCGUGGGGAGCAAACAGGAUUAGAUACCCCGGUAGG